rnacentral:rRNA from 1 species
UUUGAGAGUUUGAUCCUGGCUCAGGAUGAACGCUGGCGGCGUGGAUAAGGCAUGCAAGUCAAGGGGUCGCCUUCGGGCGACACCGGCGAACGAGUUAGUAACACGUAGAUACUUACCCUUAACACACGCAUAACUAGCCGAAAGGUUAGCUAAUUCGUGAUAGUCCUUGAAUAAAGGUAAAGGGUGUCCGUAAGGAAUACCGGUUAGGGAAAGGUCUGCGGCCUAUCAGCUAGUUGGUUAGGUAACGGCUAACCAAGGCGAUGACGGGUAGGGGAAGUGAGAGCUUGUCCCCCAACGGCGGAACUGCGACACGGUCCGCACUCCUACGGGAGGCAGCAGUCGAGAAUAUUGGUCAAUGGGCGAAAGCCUGAACCAGCAACGCCGCGUGCUUGAAGAAGCCCUUCGGGGUGUAAAGAGCUUUUGCGCGAGAAGAAGCUUCGGCUGACGUUAUCGCGCGAAUAAGAGGUCGCUAAACUCGUGCCAGCAGCGGCGGUAAUACGAGUACCUCAAGCGUUAUCCGGAUUUAUUGGGCGUAAAGGGUCCGUAGGCGGCCAGGAAAGUCUCUGGUUAAAUACCCAGGGCUCAACCUUGGGGGUGCCAGAGAUACUAUCUGGCUAGAGGGCGUUAGGGGCUGAUGGAACGGUCGGUGUAGGGGUGAAAUCCGUUGAUAUCGACCGGAACACCAAAAGCGAAGGCAUUCAGCUGGGACGGCCCUGACGCUGAAGGACGAAAGCGUGGGGAGCAAACGAGAUUAGAUACCUCGGUAGUCCACGCCCUAAACGAUGGACACUGGCUAUCUGAAGUGUCGACCCUUCGGGUGGCGAAGCUAACGCGUUAAGUGUCCCGCCUGGGAAGUACGACGGCAACGUUAAAACUCAAAGGAAUAGACGGGGACCUACACAA